CUUUUUUUUUUUUCUUUUUUUCUUUUUCUUUCUUUCUUUCUUUCUUUUUUUUUUUUUUUUUUUUUUGACAUUUCACCCCCCAUUUACUGUGAUCUGUAAAAUUGUUUUUUGUUUAAAGGAGCGCUCUCCUUCUGUCUGGUCGCCUUCCCCAUGGAUACCGAGGGUUUGGGUAAUAAUCCGUUGAUCAGGAAAAAGGGGCUUCUCAGAAACCAGUCCCUCCCAGCCAUUUCCAGGUGCCACCCGUGAAGCAGACAUACACAGCACGGUGACCGCAGCGUGCACACUGUUGGUUGUUUUUAAUGAACCUCUUCCCACUAGGACGUCUCACUUUCUCGUUCACCAUACAAUCAUGUACUCUUUAACAGAAAUUGCUUUUAAGAGAAAUCUGGAACUAUCUUUAAAAGAAAAGAACCUUAUUAAUAAUCAUGUAUUUUUACUGAUCACAUUUUGAAAUGCCUAAAAGACUUUUAUUGCUCUAAUUAUCCAGAUGCACCUUUGUAAAAAGCUCUUUUAUGAAUUAGCUGAUAAGACUGUAUGUUUCUGGAACAAAAUAUUGGGUCAUCUAAAACUUUCUGUUUUCUGGGGUCUGGGAAAAUAGAAAAUAAGAAUUCAAAUAUUAAAUAAGCUUAAAAGAA
rnacentral:lncRNA from 1 species